rnacentral:rRNA from 1 species
GACGAACGCUGGCGGCGUGCUUAACACAUGCAAGUCGAACGGAAAGGCCCUGCUUUUGUGGGGUGCUAGAGUGGCGAACGGGUGAGUAACACGUGAGUAACCUGCCCUUGACUUUGGUAUAACUUCAGGAAACUGGGGCUAAUACCGGAUAGGUGCUCCUGCUGCAUGGUGGGGGUUGGAAAGUUUCGGCGGUUGGGGAUGGACUCGCGGCUUAUCAGCUUGUUGGUGGGGUAGUGGCUUACCAAGGCUUUGACGGGUAGCCGGCCUGAGAGGGUGACCGGCCACAUUGGGACUGGGAUACGGCCAAGACUCCUACGGGAGGAAGCAGUGGGGAAUAUUGCACAAUGGGCGGAAGCCUGUUGCAGCAACGCCGCGUGCGGGAUAACGGCCUUCGGGUUGUAACCCGUUUUCGCCUGUGACGAAGCGUGAGUGACGGUAAUGGGUAAAGAAGCACCGGCUAACUACGUG